UGGCACCUGGGGCGCUCUCCGUCCCCACCGGGGCCCCGGGGGCGGGUGACGCUCCGCAGCCCUGCUCCGGGCUGGGCGCCCAGGCUGGGCACGGACCCCUGCAGCAGAAAGCAAGCCCCGAGCGCGGCUGGGGGCGCAGGAGGCAGCCCCGCAGGGCAGCGGCCCGGUGCCACGCUGAGGAGCGUCCUGCUGAGGCUCCUGCGGGGCCUCGCGCCCUGGGCAUCAGGCAGGGACCGCCCAGCCCCAAGGAGCCCCGCUGCGGGCCCAGGGCGCAAGUCAGGGGCGCAGGGGCCCCAGGAGCCACGUGGGAAGCGCGAGGCGCGAAGGGACCCCCGACCCAACGCGCCUGCAGCAGGACGCCCGUCCAGCGACGACGAGCCUUGGCCGCGUGGCCGCUUCGGGGGAACAGCCCCAGGAGCCCUGCGAAGCCAUCGGGGCGGCAGCAAGGCCAGGGCCAGAAGUCCUGACAGCAGCUCUCCCCUGGCUGCUGCAAUCCCUCCGGAGGCGUCCACCAGCACAGAGGGGACCACAGCGUCCUCGGGCCCCCACGAGGGUGUUGGUGCCCCCUGCCACGGUCCCCAAAAGCAGCGGGCACCCCAGGCAGGUGCCAGAUCGUUCGGUGGUGGUGCCCCGCUCCCGGGAGCACGCAGCAGAGACCUGCCUGGCAAGGAGAGGAGAUGCAGGCUCAGGAGGCGGCCGCCCCGCAGGGCUGGGGCAGGCCACGGAGGGCAAAGGCAGUGGUCCGGGCUUGGGGGGCAGCGCCCUGCCAGCCCCAAGAGCUCCCAGGGCUCCAGGGCACGGUCCCGCAGUACCCACAGACACAUCAGCUUCAAGGGGACACGGGCGCGCAGCAGCAGCCCGCAGGGGAUGCCGAGCCAGGCAGCCUUGCCACGUCGCGCCUUUAAACCAUCCAGUGAGGACGACGCCUCCGACACGGACAGCUCGGCCUCCCUGGAGCACUGUGAUGCCCCUGCCACCAGGCACGUGUGCCCGUGCCACCUGCAMCAAGCCCACAGCCGCAGGGCCCAGGGGACUCUGCCAGGCCCGCGCAGCAAUAUCCUCUGCUCAGCGCAGCACAGGGUGCAUGCGCUCACGGCCAAGCAAGCUGUCACCAGCCCUGGAGAGCUCUAG
rnacentral:lncRNA from 1 species